rnacentral:rRNA from 1 species
GGUUAGAACUGAUCGGGCUCGGCCCGAUCCUCCCACCCUUUGUGUACCUACCUCUGUUGCUUUGGCGGGCCGCGGUCCUCCGCGGCCGCCCCCCUCCCCGGGGGGGUGGCCAGCGCCCGCCAGAGGACCAUCAAACUCCAGUCAGUAAACGAUGCAGUCUGAAAAACAUUUAAUAAACUAAAACUUUCAACAACGGAUCUCUUGGUUCUGGCAUCGAUGAAGAACGCAGCGAAAUGCGAUAAGUAAUGUGAAUUGCAGAAUUCAGUGAAUCAUCGAAUCUUUGAACGCACAUUGCGCCCUUUGGUAUUCCGAAGGGCAUGCCUGUUCGAGCGUCAUUACAACCCUCAAGCUCUGCUUGGUAUUGGGCACCGUCCUUUGCGGGCGCGCCUCAAAGACCUCGGCGGUGGCGUCUUGCCUCAAGCGUAGUAGAACAUACAUCUCGCUUCGGAGCGCAGGGCGUCGCCCGCCGGACGAACCUUCUGAACUUUUCUCAAGGUUGACCUCGGAUCAGGUAGGGAUACCCGCUGAACUUAAGCAUACUAA